GCCUCCUGCUGCCGGGACGCCCGCCCUUCCUUGCAGCCAGUGGACUAUGGACUGAAACCUCUACAAACUGUGAGCGAAAAUAAACCUUUCCAGGAGGAGAAUGGGGGGAAAAAAAGAAUCAAGGUGCCACGUACUCUGUCUCAGCAAUGAGAAAGUAACGAAGACAACUUCUAAUUGCUAUGACCAGCGAUGCAGUUACAAGUGAAAUGAAGAAUUUCCUGUGAUAUGGAAGUGUGAUGGACUGAACGUUGCAUCCUGAGAAGUCCUUACUCCCAGUGUGAUGGUGUUUGGAGGUGGGGCCUUAGCUCUCGUCUAAAUUGGGUUUAAAUGCGGUCACAAAGGAUUUCAUGGCUGAUCGGGAGCCACGGCUUGUUGCUGCCGGCCCAGAGCACAAACGAGUAUCAUACCACAUGUAUCUAGCCACGGAGAAGAUCCACAUUCAAAGUAUCGACUCUACUGGACACAUACUGCUGUCUCAUCAUGGCAAAGUCAAAGACUCGCUGUGAAUGAAAAAGCUAAAGGAAACCAGACUGCAGAGGAAGAACGGAGCAGGCAUCCAUGAGACUAAGAAGCCCCCGAAGAAGAUACAAAAACGGAAGGUAUCUGUCCUAAUCCUUGACCACUUCCUAAUUCUGUGUGUUUUGAGACGGGGCUGCAACUCCUACCCUUGGAUUCUGUGAACUCUUCAUCCCUGUGCCAUGCACGCCUUUUUUGCUCAAAUUAAUUUGAUUUCUGACUGAGACAGACAGAUGUGGGAUAGAGUAGCCAAGGGCAGAGCAGUACAUCCCCUGAUGCUGGAGUGUGGGUAACAAUGGGUGACAUCUGAAUGUGGGUGACAGAAGAGGGGUUGUGGAGUUCCCUGCCCUGGUGAUCUCACGAAGGCCUGGACAGAGGCCACCAGGUAAGGAGGCUGCGACAGCAGUGUCACAGGUCUAUUCCUGACCACUCAGGAAGAGCCCCCUCCACCAGGUCACACUAAGAGGUCACUACUGGCAAUCAGAGGAGAAUUACUUCUUUUAGUCUUAGUAGAAAUAUGGUUGAAAUUUGUGGUGCUAGGCUUGUAAGACUCAGGCAUUUGGGAGAUCUGGAUAAAAUGAUUGCUUUACAACAGACCCACAGUUACAUUAUUCCUUAUCCACCUUCCAAGAUUUUCUACCUCUUUAUAAAAUAUCCUGCUGGGGAUGCUUUACUCAUGAGUCUACUGUAAUUUUUGGAGCAAUCAGUCCUGAGCACACAAAGGUAACACAAAAGUCCUUCUUGUUAAGAAAAACAAACUGCAUUUUAGGAAUUUUGCCAUGGGGCUUACAUUCUUUCAUUAACUUCCACUAAAGAAAACCACCAGAGUAGGGUUCUAAAAUACUAAGUGUCUUAGUUACUUUCUCAUUGCUGGGACAAAAUACCCGACAUCCACAAAUUAAAGGAGGAGAUGUUUAUUUUGGCUUGUAGUCUGUAGAAGUCUCAGUCCAGAAUUGGCUGGCUUCAGGGCAGGGUGGCAUGGCGGAAGGGCAAGAGUUCAAAGGGUAGCAGGCAAAAAGCAGCAGCCAUCAAGGGAGGAGAAGGGAUGUAUAACCUCAGAGCACACUCACAAUGCCCCCACCGCUCCCCACCAGG